CGUACGAUACGUAGUUUGAUCCUGGCUCAAGAACGAACGCUGGCGGCAUGCCUAACACAUGCAAGUCGAACGAAGCCGUUCGGGCUUAGUGGCGCACGGGUGCGUAACACGUGGGAAUCUGCCCUUCGGUUCGGAAUAACAGUUAGAAAUGACUGCUAAUACCGGAUGAUGACGUAAGUCCAAAGAUUUAUCGCCGAAGGAUGAGCCCGCGUAGGAUUAGGUAGUUGGUAGGGUAAUGGCCUACCAAGCCGACGAUCCUUAGCUGGUCUGAGAGGAUGAUCAGCCACACUGGGACUGAGACACGGCCCAGACUCCUACGGGAGGCAGCAGUGGGGAAUAUUGGACAAUGGGCGAAAGCCUGAUCCAGCAAUGCCGCGUGAGUGAUGAAGGCCUUAGGGUUGUAAAGCUCUUUUACCAGGGAUGAUAAUGACAGUACCUGGAGAAUAAGCUCCGGCUAACUCCGUG
rnacentral:rRNA from 1 species